rnacentral:rRNA from 1 species
AUUGAACGCUGGCGGCAGGCUUAACACAUGCAAGUCGAGCGGAGAUGAGGUGCUUGCACCUUAUCUUAGCGGCGGACGGGUGAGUAAUGCUUAGGAAUCUGCCAUUUAGUGGGGGACAACAUUCCGAAAGGACUGCUAAUACCGCAUACGUCGUACGGGAGACAGCAGGGGAUCUUCGGACCUUGCGCUAAAUGAUGAGCCUAAGUCGGAUUAGCUAGUUGGUGGGGUAAAGGCCUACCAAGGCGACGAUCUGUAGCGGGUCUGAGAGGAUGAUCCGCCACACUGGGACUGAGACACGGCCCAGACUCCUACGGGAGGCAGCAGUGGGGAAUAUUGGACAAUGGGCGGAAGCCUGAUCCAGCCAUGCCGCGUGUGUGAAGAAGGCCUUUUGGUUGUAAAGCACUUUAAGCGAGGAGGAGGCUACUAGCACUAAUACUACUGGAUAGUGGACGUUACUCGCAGAAUAAGCACCGGCUAACUCUGUGCCAGCCGCCGCCGUAACAC